GGGGAAAACUGGAGACCGGGCGAGAGCAGCGGAGCUUCCCAACCACACACUUCCUCCCUCCGUUUGACCCAUCCGGGGAGGGCGGGGGCUGCUGAGCUGGCAGUCCCACUGUUUAUCCGACCUGGUGCUCUGGCUUGGGCGGAGACAGUACCUCGAGCUCCGAGUGCCUUCUCCCACCUCCUCUGCCCUCUAGGCUUCAAGGGAAACAGAAGUUCUUCUCAAGUUAAACAACAAAGUGAAACGUCCUGUAUCCAAGUCAUAUGUAGAUAUGAACAAAGAGCAAAGAAUUUGUCCUGGAAGUCCUCGUAUUCUUCUCCUCAUCUUCCUGGUCACCUAUAAACUGAUCAUUGAGAAAGAGAAUGGGCUCACAAUGAAAGUCAGGUUUUACACUAGUCUGUUUUGCCCUGAGCUGUGGAGAGGAUCAAGAUCCCAGAGGAAUGGAUACUCCAACUGGGUGGGAACCAGGGGCUGAGAUGUCUUCACCUACCUCCUUCCCUUCAACAGUGAGUCCGGUCACAUUUCUACAGUCAUCCUUCCAUCUGGGUCUGCUCUGAAGGCAGUGGGUGUCGGAUGCCGUCACUGCAGAAGUCCGUUGCCCAAGUGGGCAUCUCUGCCUGCUAGACUGGACGGACUGCACAGUAAUACAAGUGUUCCACUUUGUCAUUGAUAUCUUCAUUUGCAUAUGGAAAUCUUUUUCUCUUCCUUUCUAAGUGCAAUUUUAUGUUAAUCCCAGUGAAAGGAAUGGGUGUGCAGGCCGGAAGUGGGUGUGUCCUGGGCUGUAGGGUUGCAGAGGUAUCUAAAUGCUUAUGUUAGAAAGCUGCGGGAACAGUUGGUCUGGUAUUACUGUCACCUGAGACAGGUAGAACCAAGCAAGGUGGGACCAAGGUGGAGAGGGCACAUUUCUGGGGUGAAGUGCUACCAUCUACUGCGUCUUUCCACGUCAACUCAAACCAAAAGACAAUUAUUGCAUAUCAACUGGCCACCCCUGCAUUUGUAGGGUAAAUUGUUAAAUCAUCGUUCAAUAAAGCAUAUUCCUACUGCUAGAAUUUCUGGGAGCGUAGAAUUCUCUAGACACGAAGUAGCUUGGACCAAAAAUCAGGGCCUGAGAUUUGGAGCAUCUUCCACUGUGACUGUUGGUCUAGGACUCAUAUUUGAGCCUACGUUAAUUUCUCUCUUUACUAGGCGUUUAUAUUCAUCUGGGCUUUUUUUAUUAUAUCUUGCUCUGGAAACCUGCCCUGGAAGGCAGCUAUUGACCCUGGUCUCCUGCCCUGUCAUUUUCUCUCCAAUUUUUGGCUUUAAAAAAUCCUUUCUAUUUAUCGAUCUAUCUUUAUUUAUUUUUGAUGGUACUUUAAAAAAAUAACUCAUGCCCCUGGUUAAAAAAAAAAAAUCAAAUAGUACAAAGGUUGUUAGAUAUGUCUGUCUUCUGUAGGUGCCUCCUGGAUUCCCCAGUGUGAAAACUGUUUAUACCACAGAUCCAAGGCAGGCUGUUCAAACUUACCUGUCACAUUUGGUAAAGACCUUCCAGUCAUUUUAUGUGAAUAUGUAACAACCUUUAGACCAUGGGAGAUAGAAUGGUUUGAUGUGGGCACUGCCACCUACAGGAUUUGCUCAUGUUGGGGAGACCCGAUGAGGCGUGAAAGUUAAAUAAUGCCAAGACAAAUAUGUGGUUAGUCACCAAACUGAUUUACACCUAGGGCACUACCGUGUAUGUGGCGUAAGCACCAAUGAUGAUGAAAUGCCACUCUGGAGUAUUUGAGA